rnacentral:rRNA from 1 species
UACGUAGGGUGCAAGCGUUGUCCGGAAUUAUUGGGCGUAAAGAGCUCGUAGGCGGUUUGUCGCGUCUGCUGUGAAAACUCAGGGCUUAACCCUGAGCCUGCAGUGGGUACGGGCAGACUAGAGUGUGGUAGGGGAGAUCGGAAUUCCUGGUGUAGCGGUGGAAUGCGCAGAUAUCAGGAGGAAGACCGGUGGCGAAGGCGGAUCUCUGGGCAAUAACUGACGCUGAGGAGCGAAAGCAUGGGGAGCGAACAGG